rnacentral:ncRNA from 1 species
AAGGCGGAACCCGAAAAGCCGGAAUAGAGUAGGGC